rnacentral:lncRNA from 1 species
UCAAUGGCAUUGUAAGCAAUAUGAAUUUUAAAUUUGCUAGAAUGGAACACAAUAGAGUUACCCUGAACGUGAGCGUGGCAUUAUGAAUGGUUCAAUCAAUGAUGGUGGAAGACUGAGUCUGAACAGUUUGCAUCUUGAACAACAAGGAAGCAGAGAGCUAGACAAAUUGCGAGAUAGCUUCUAAUUGACAUACAUCUUUAAAUCAGGCCCUAGGUCCCAAAGAUUUUAUAACCUCCCCCCAAACAGUUCUAGCAGAGAGAUACAAAUGUUGAAACACAUGUCCCAGUAGGGGUCAUAAUAAAAACUCCCUUAUAUCAAAAGGUUGAUAAAGGUUGUUCACUGUAUACUGUGUUGGCUAGCUUUGUCAGCUUGACAUAAUAUCUGGGAAGAGGGAACAUCAAUAGGGAAGUUACCACCAUCAGAUUAUCCUGUAGGCAAGUCUGUGGGAGCAUCUACUUGAUUAGUGACUGAUAUGGCAAGGCCCAAUCCACUAUGAGUGGUACCAUUCCUGAAAAUGUGGUCCUGGGUUGUAUAUAUAUAUAUAAAAGCAGCCUGCACAAGCCAUGAAGCAAUGAAAAUAAGCAGCACUUGUUUAUAGUCUCUGCUUCAGCUCUGUUUUACAGGCUCCUGCCUUGUGUUCCUGCCAUGAUUUUCCUCAGUGAUAGACUGAGAACUGGGCAUUAUAAGAAAAAAAAAUCUCUUCCUCCCCAAGAUGCUGUGCUCAUGGUGUGUAUCACAAGAGAAAUCAAACCAGGACUUACACAUUCCUAAAAAGAGAGCUCUGAAUGCCAUGCUGAAUUGUAGCAGCCAAACUAUACCCUCUUUCCCUGGUUAAGGUACUUUCUCUGAGAUAUGUGACCACAUCCAAGAGAAGAGGCUAAUGAAACCUGUAAGACUACAGUAAUAAAAAUAAGACAACAACAGAGGGUCAAGCAUAGACAGAGGCUAAUGAUAAGAAAUUUCAACAUGAUAAGGAUAGGAUUUCCAAUAGGCAGAAUAAGAAAUCGAGAAUGCAUAAAAAUUUUUUAGAUAUACAUGACUAACUAUUUUAGAAGAAAAUUCAAUUAUAAUCCUAAUCAAUUCUAUGAUAAGACUGAUGUGAGCAUAAGGAGGUUAACAUUCUCAGAUGAAGUAUAAAGAUUCCUUUUUACAGUUCUCUGAACCAGCUGUAGGAUGUUCUUUGUGUUUUACUUCAUAAAACAUUCCAUGGAUAGGAGACUUCCUUGCCUUACAAUUUCUCUAUGGUACUAAGUGCUCAGUGGGAAAGUCCUGCUACUUGGCUUUGGUUCAUGAGGAUUUUGGUGCACUGACACUUUUAUCAGGUCUGUGCAGUCCAUCAGACUGCAAAGUGCACGGGGAUUCUCUCUAGUUGUGGGCUUACGCUUCCUCUAGUGCACAAUAAAAUUUAAGUGCGAUCUUGGUUCAAAGUAAGAGUUUGUUUAUUUGUUUGCUUUAAAUAUGGAGAAUCUUCCCAUAUUCCAGCCUUCCUCUCUAGCAUUAGCUUUUUAUCUUUCUGUGCUGCUCAGUACUGCUGAGCCUUUGACUCCACCCCCCCACAUCAUACUUGCUUUGCAUAGCUGAUGUCCACCAGAAGACAAGUACUAUCUCUAGCUGCCUUACCAUGUCUGCCUCUUCUUUAACUCUUUCUACAUGCCAUCUGCAGUGCAAUACCCAUCCAUCAGAAACCCAGUCAUUGUAUUCUCAUGUUUAAAGCAUUCUGAAUAAAGUUGGGACACCUUACAACAUCCAAAGACUUCCUUUUCCUUUUCCUCCCCAAACCAGCCAUAGGCCUGCCUAGAAGUUAACUAGUUCUAUGGCAUUUGAAGAAUUAGGUUUGGUGGGGAGUGAGGAUGGAAUU